CUCAUAUUCCAGAAAUACAGAAAGAAAGAAAUUCCAUGAUCAAACUACCAAAAUAAAUAGCAUAAAAUGGGCUAAAAAAACGAGACCAAAAUGCUUCACUUUGUAUUGAAAAGCUAGAAUUUAGUGAUUCUUGUAAAUCUAAUUCAUUGAAAUUCCAUCCAGUAAAACAGAAGAAUUAUAAAUCUCCAAAAUAAUAGAUAGGAAUACCGCAAAUAGAGCCAUUGCGACACCCAUCAAAGGAGUAGUUCCCCACCCCGGAGCUACUUUACCAUAUUCCGAAUUCAAUGGUUUCAAUAAAUCCCCUACAAUAGUUCGUCUUGGACCAGAUCUAGAACUCCCCUCAACGCUUUGUGUAGCCAUAAAUCCUUUUUUGUAUUAACUGAGAUCUGUUGACUUUGUAUACCAUUCCGUUGUAAAUAAAUGAUCUUAUCAUAGAUCCAUUGUGGUCUGGAAAUUAUUUUAUUAUUAUUAUUAUAUAAUAAUGGAAACAGCAACCCUAGUCGCCAUCUCUAUAUCUGGUUUACUUGUAAGUUUUACUGGGUAUGCCUUAUAUACUGCUUUUGGGCAACCCUCUCAACAACUAAGAGAUCCAUUCGAGGAACACGGGGACUAGUUGAAGUAAUGAGCCCCCCAAGAUUGGGAGGCUCAUUACUUCAAUUAAGAUAAUGAAAAAUCAUUUCACCUUUUUAGUUGGAACUUUAGGCGGUUCUCGAAAAAAGAUAGCGAAAAAAAUUAUUCCUAGAGUCGAUACUAAGAGGAAUGUAUAAACUAAUGCUUCCAUAGAUUCAAUCGUGGUUUACAAUUAUAGCUUCCAUAUCUGUUUAUUUAGAGCGUUCCCGGAUAAAAAAAGAGCAAGAGUCAAGACAAAGAAAAGGCGGCGAUUCAAAUCAAGAUGUCCCCAGUACCCUAUGCCAAAUUACAAAAAGAAAAUAGAGACGCAAAAUCAGAGAUUAAUGUUGUAUCAAACUACUUGUCUUCUUGUAGUUGGAUCUCCAAGUUUUUGGAAUGCUCCAAAUUCCACCUGAGCGUCUAAAUCUGGAUCAAUACCAGCAAAAACAUCUCUAAACUAUCACUUGUAUCGAGUUGCCAGCAAAAACAUCAUGGCAAGUGACCAUAAUAAUAUAUAAAAACAUCUCACUUCAAUUCGAAUUAGCAAAAGCAAUGUCUCCUUGCAUAAUAUGGAUUCCAAACAUUCACGAUCUGGAUGUGAAUGAGUCGAAUUACUUAUCCCUCGGUCUAUUAGUGAACUAUCUCUCCAGGGAUUGUGAAAGAUGUUCCACUAGAAAUAUUCUUGUUAUUGCUUCGACUCAUAUUCCCCAAAAAGUGGAUCCCGCUCUAAUAGCUCCGAAUAAAUUAAAUACAUGCAUUAAGAUACGAAGGCUUCUUAUUCCACAACAACGAAAGCACGUUUUCACUCUUUCAUAUAGUAGGGGAUUUCACUUGGAAAAGAAAAUGUUCCAUACUAAGAGAUUCGGGUCCGUAACCAUGGGUUCCAAUGUACGAGAUCUUGUAGCACUUACCAAUGAGGCCCUAUCGAUUAGUAUUACACAGAAGAAAUCAAUUAUAGACACUAAUAUAAUUAGAUCUGCUCUUCAUAGACAAACUUGGGAUUUGCGAUCCCAGGUAAGAUCGGUUCAGGAUCAUGGGAUCCUUUUCUAUCAGAUAGGAAGGGCUGUUGAACAAAAUGUAUUUCUAAGUAAUUGCCCCAUAGAUCCUAUAUCUAUCUAUAUGAAGAAGAAAUCAUGUAACGAAGGGGAUUCUUAUUUGUACAAAUGGUACUUCGAACUUGGAACGAGCAUGAAGAAAUUAACGAUACUUCUUUAUCUUUUGAGUUGUUAUGCCGGAUCGAUUGCUCAAGACCUUUGGUCUCUACCCGGACCCGAUGAAAAAAAUGGGAUCACUUAUUAUGGACUUGUUGAGAAUGAUUCUGAUCUAGUUCAUGGCCUAUUAGAAGUAGAAGGCGCUCUGGUGGGAUCCUCACGGACAGAAAAAGAUUGCAGUCAGUUUGAUAAUGAUCGAGUGACAUUGCUUCUUCGGCCCGAACCAAGGAGUCCCUUAGAUAUGAUGCAAAAUGGAUCUUGUUCUAUCCUUGAUCAAAGAUUUCUCUAUGAAAAAUAUGAAUCGGAGUUUGAAGAAGGGGAAGUAGAAGGAAUCCUCGACCCGCAACAGAUAGAGGAGGAUUUAUUCAAUCACAUAGUUUGGGCUCCUAGAAUAUGGAGCCCUUGGGGCUUUCUAUUUGAUUGUAUCGAAAGGCCCAAUUCAUUGGGAUUUCCCUAUUGGGCCAGGUCAUUUCGGGGUAAGCGGAUCAUUUAUGAUGAAGAGGAUGAGCUUCAAGAGAAUGAUUCGGAGUUGUUGCAGAGUGGAACCAUGCAGUACCAGAUACGAGAUAGAUCUUCCAAAGAACAAGGUGUUUUUCGAAUAAGCCAAUUCAUUUGGGACCCUGCAAAUCCACUCUUUUUCCUAUUCAAAGACCAGCCCCUUUGUCUCUGUGUUUUCACAUCGAGAAUUCUUUGUAGAUGAAGAGAUGUCAAAGGGGCUUCUUACUUCCCAAACAAAUCCUCCUACAUUUAUAUAUAAACGCUGGUUUAUCAAGAAUACGUAAGAAAAGCACUUCGAAUUGUUGAUUCAUCGCCAGAGAUGGCUUAGAACCAAGAGUUCAUUAUCUAAUGGAUUUUUCCGUUCUAAUACUCUAUCCGAGAGUUAUCAGUAUUUAUCAAAUCUAUUCCUAACUAACGGAAGGCUAUUGGAUCAAAUGACAAAGGCAUUGUUGAGAAAAAUAUGGCUUUUCCCGGAUGAAAUGAAAAUUGGAUUCAUGUAAUAGGAGAAAGGUUUCCCAUUCCUUAGCCUGAAAGAUAUGUGGCCAUGAAAUAGGGAUUAAGUGGAACAGAAUUGACUGGGUGGUAGAGUCGUGGAAACACCUUCUUCUUCCAUAUUUUGGACACGGAACAAUAUGUUACUGCUGAAACAUGGAAGAAUUGAAAUCUUAGAUCAAAACACUAUGUAUGGAUGGUAUGAACUGCCUAAACAAGAAUUCUUGAACAGCGAGCAACCAGAGCGAUUCCUCACUACAUCAAAAAAUUUCCAUUAAUGAAAGAUGUAAAUCCAUUGGAAAAAUCAAAAAUACGUAUGUCGGAUGAAAUGGUGGUUGUUGCUAUCUGCUCCAAUAACGAAUCGUUGGUUUAACUGAAUAACUAAAUGAAUAACUAAAUAAAAUAGAUAGAACCUUCUCUUCGUCUCAGGUCGAUGGAUCUUCUCAAUUGGAAGAUCCCCUAUAUGGAUAAUAUACAUAUUCCAGUUGACCGGGCCUAAUUCUAAUUCUUUUGUUCCGAAGCAAAGAUAUCCACGGGGCGGUUCGUCCUAUUCAGAUAUUCACGACCAAGAAGUACUGGAUUCUCUUUCGGAUAGGCUCUGAAAGGAGAAAGAGAAGGAAGGCUGGAAUGCCAACAAACGCCUAUUAUUGAAUUCACCCGACCCGAUAGUACCCAUUUUAUUUUGGGAACAUAACAUCCAGUGCCAAAGUCACUGAAUGGGUAAGUCGCCAAUCCCUAAAACGGACUAUGUACUGUACUUUAUCUGUUGGGUUACGGGCGGGCAUUUUCCAGAGGUUUCUAUUGUAUCAAUCUACCUUUGUGUAAUUCCUGUUGAAGACAUAGACUCGGGGGUGGUUCCAGGGCGGACGAUUUCAAAGCAGACUCCCCAUUCAUUAUUCAUUAGAUAGAGAAGAUCACCAAGAUUUCGUGAUCCGCGACCGAACUUAUUCCAAUUCAAUAAGAGAUCUUGGAUCGAAUCGGUAUAUCAAUAUCGAUUCGAUCCGAGAUCUCUUAUUGAAUUGCUCAUUCAAUGAGCAUUCUCAAUAUUAUGUCUUGAAGAGGACUCGAACCUCCACGCUCUUUAGCACGAGAUUUUGAGUCUCGCGUGUCUACCAUUUCACCACCAAGGCAUCUUGAAAGUGAAUCGUAUUCCAUGAAUAUGAUAUCUAUCUAGUGUAAUGUAUGGAAUAUAUGACAAAGGUGGAGUGUUGGAGUAUUUCUAUUGAUCGGUCAUGUCAGACAUCCAAUUGCUUUUUGAAUUAUCCGGAAGAUGCCUUAUCUAUAUUAUAUCAAAAAAAUGGACAAUCAAACCUAUUUCUCGAUUCAAUAUAAGCCAAAAGGGGUGAAUAGAAUAGGGAAUAGGGUCCCAAAUAAGGAGAGAUAUUUAUGUAAAAAACAGGUCCGAUUACGCCUGUUCCUAAUCCUAAAUGGAAUGUAGCGACGGGGGGAUCCAUAUGUAAACAUAGUCUUUAUUUAGAUACGCUCGAAUGACCUUUUCUCAUAAUGAGAAUGUAUAUAAGCCUAUUCCGGUCUGGUCCGGUAUGAAAUGAACUUAUAAUCAUGGAAUCGACUCGAUUAUAGAUUAUAAGUUCAUAACCCUAGCCCAUUCCCAUUUUGGGCGGAACAGAUCUAUAAAUUCUUUGAUUCCAGUUAGUAAGAGGGAUCUUGAACUAAGAAAUAGAUUCUAGAAGCUAAAAAAGGAUAUCUUGAGCAAUUUCAAUAAUCGGGCUCAUUGAUAUUCCCGGUAUAGUAGAUGCUAUCACACAUACAAUCAUACUCAAUUUGAUGGAAUUGUUUGAUCUUAAAGGGGAUCCUCUAUAAUUUCGCACGUGAGGGGUUAUUUCUUGGUUUUGUCCAGUCAUUAAUAACUUGAUUAUUUUUAGAUAAUAGUAGAUAGAAAGAACGCUCGUAUACUAAUUCCUCAUCCCCCAAUCAAUCCUUCCCGUUGGGUUAUUGUCCCAAUAAAAAUAAAACAAAAUAAAUAAUUGUAGGAGUAAAAUCUUGAUAGAAUUCGAAAAAGCAAGCAGCAAGUACAAGACAAUAAAAAAAAAUACGUAUUUUUUUAUAGGAUUAGAUUAAACAAAUCAAAUAUAGGAUUAAACAAAAGGAUUCGCAAAUAAAAGUGUUAAUGCUACAACCAGUCCAUAAAUUGUUAAAGCUUCCAUAAAAGCCAGACUAAGCAAUAAAGUACCUCGUAUUUUCCCCUCUGCCUCGGGUUGUCUCGCGAUACCUUCUACAGCUUGGCCCGCAGCAGUACCUUGACCAACCCUAGGUCCAAUAGAAGCAAGCCCAACGGCCAACCCAGCAGCAAUAACGGAAGCGGCAGAAAUCAAUGGAUUCAUGAUAAGUUCCUCGCACCAAAAAAAAGAAAUGGUUAAUGAUACAAUCAACCAAUAAAUUAUGACUUAAUUAUUCCAUCGAUAAGAUUUUCAUCUAGUCAAAGUAACGCAACUAAGAGCUCCCAAUUGAAGUAGUAAUAUUAUUGAAUCAUCAGAACUACUUCGAUAUCUAUUUUAUAGUUCCUAUCCACAGAGUUUUUGUGAAUUCAUAGAAUUCAUACAACUUUUUGUUUUUCCAUUUCUUUCUUUGUUCCAAACCAUUCUUUGAAUUCGAACUCUUCGUUCUUUUUCUUGAUUGAAUUCCUUUAUUCAAUAUUGAAUUGAAUUCACAGUUACAAAUGAAACAGAAGGACUUUUAUUGGAAUCCCUACCCCAAUUCUCAGUAAUAGGAGGGCGGAUUAGAUAUAUCUUUUAGCUCAUAUAUAACUAGCCUACUAUUACAUAUACAUGUCUUUCUUCCAUAACGUAAACCAACUAUUUGUAUCUUGGAUUCAGUCGUAUUUUAAAAACAUUUUUCGAAACAUCUAUAAAGGAAAGUUGGCUUAUAGCGAUUAUAUAUAUUACAUAUACCUAGUUUGAUCCCACUCUUCUAACGAAACCAUUUUCUCUUGAAUCUCAUUUUUUGUAAACCCUUAUCUUCCUUUUAUUUAAUUUAGAAUUAUUUAAUUUAGAAUUUAGCAUUAUCCCACAUGGAUACAAUCAAUCUAAAUGGGCGAAUUUCUUAGUCUAAAUCAUUGCAUAGAAAUAUAAGUCUUUGGUUGAUCUAAGUUCAUGUAAUUUAUUCUUUAUUAAUAUUUUCUUUUGGUCAAUCUUUGAAUUGAAUAAAACCGACUGAAAUGGGAAUCGCUCUAUAGAACCUAAUUUUUUUUUUUACAAUUCCCUAAUAUCGUAAUCGUUUUUACUAUUCUUCUAGAUCUUAUAGAUAGAUAGAUCUUAUAGACUUUUUUGUCUAUUUAUGUGUAUAUAUAUGUUCACGAAGAAGAUUAUCUCGAGCAAGGCAUAGAUUACCUUGCACUAAGCUAAAAAAGACUAUUUCGAAACUUAGUCAAUGGUGUCCCUCCAAGGAUUCACCUAUAUAAGCCGCAGCUAAAGUUGCAAAAAUAAGAGCUUGAAUACCACUUGUAAAUAAUCCAAGGAAAAUGACAGGUAUAGGAACCAUUGAAGGUACUAAAGAAACAAGAACAACAAUUACUAAUUCAUCCGCUAAUAUAUUUCCAAAAAGUCGAAAGCUAAGUGAUAAAGGUUUUGUGAAAUCUUCUAAAAUGUUAAUGGGUAAAAGGAUUGGAGUUGGUUGUAUGUAUUUACCGAAAUAACCUAAUCCUUUUUUGCUAAGGCCCGCAUAAAAAUAUGCUAUUGACGUAAGUAAAGCUAAAGCAACGGUAGUAUUUAUAUCAUUCGUGGGUGCGGCUAACUCCCCAUGAGGUAACUCUACAAUUUUCCAAGGUAAAAGCGCCCCUGACCAAUUAGAAACAAAAAUAAAUAGAAACAAAGUUCCAAUAAAGGGAACCCAUGGACCAUAUUCCUCUCCAAUCUGGGUUUUGCUCACAUCUCGAAUAAAUUCAAGGAUAUAUUCGAAGAAAUUCUGACCAUCAGUAGGAAUGGUUUGUGGAUUCCGAACAGUUACAAUGGCUGAACCUAAUAAGAUAACAAUUACAACCCAAGAAGUAAUAAGUACUUGGGCAUGGACUUGGAAACCGCCUAUUUUCCAAUAGAAAUGCUGGCCUACUUCCACACCAGAUAUUUCAUAUAACCCUUUUAAUGUGUUAAUGGAAUAUGAAAGAAAGAAAACUUUACAAGAAAUUAUUUUGAUUCAACCGUCUUUUUUUCGACUUGCUCACUUGAAUUGUAUAUUUUAGAUACCAACUAAUCACAUAAUAUCCCCAGUUUUUUAUCUCUUUUAUGAGAUUCAGAAAUAGUAAUGGAUUCCGUCAAUCUAUGGAAUUCAAAAAAGAAUUUAUUUAUCUUAUUAUUAAUCAGGGAUUUCGUAUAUAGCUAGAACGCCCUUCACAAAUUGCAAAUACUAAUUUGUUAAGAAUUAAUUGGAUUGAAGCUAUAGCGUCAUCAUUCACUGGAAUCGAAAUAUCUGUGAGAUCCGGGUCACAGUUUGUAUCAAUUAAACAAAUUGUUGGAAUUCCCAAAGUGAUACAUUCUUGAAGAGCCAUAUAUUCUUCUUGCUGAUCAACGAUUAUUACAAUAUCGGGUAACCCUGUCAUAUAUUUAAUCCCGCCCAAAUAUGUUUGCAAGUGAAAUAACUGUCUCUUUAAUCGAGCCGCAUCCCCUUUCGGAAGGCGGUGGAUUCCCCCUGUCUUUUGUUCCAUUCUCAAGUCCCUGAACUUUUGAAGUCUCAUUUCUGUAGUGGACCAAUUCGUUAAAAGGCCGCCUAGCCAUUUUUUAUUAACAUAAUGACACCGAGCUCUUAUUGCAGCCCGCGCUAUUGGAUCAGCUGCUUUAUUUUUGGUACCAACAAUUAAGAAUUGUUUUCUCCUACUUGCUGCAUCAAAAACCAAAUCACACGCUUCUGAUAAAAAACGAGCAGUUCUAGUAAGAUUUGUAAUAUGAAUACCCUUACGCUUUGCAGAGAUAUAAGGUGCCAUUUUCGGAUUCCAUUUUCUAGUAGCAUGACCAAAAUGACUCCUGUUUCCAACAUCUCUUUCAAAUUAAUGUUCCAAUACAAUAAGAAUUAUGCUUUUGCUAAUUCGAAUUGAAGCUUUAAUAUCAUUCACUUCAAUUCUUUAAUAUUUCUUCAUUUUGUGGUCACUUGCCAGUACUAUAAAUCACUAUCGAACAUGAGAGCUUUGUGAUCAGAUGCAGACCAAAGUCCCUUUGGAGUGUUAAAAUUGUUGAUCUAAGCUACCUCUUCCGUUAUCCUCUUAAAUCUUCUUCCUCUUAAAUAUUACACGCAUAAAUAGAUAUGGAGGAGAUUCGCCGGGCUGCUGGAGCUUAUUAUGAGAAUCUGCCCGAUGAGGAGAAGAGAAAUGCCAGAUUUUCUUUCAAUGAAAUGGACAAAAACAAAGACGGGAAAAUUAACCUAGAUGAAUACGUGGAGUAUCUCAAGAAAGAUAACAACACGGUUCUUCCAAGCUUGUUUACAGCGCUGGACAAGGACGGCAAUGGAACCUUGGAUUUUGAUGAAGCAAUCGUCUUGUACUACACCAUGCAGAGUGGAAGGGCUAUAAUUUGCCAGUCUUGUAAGACGUUCUUGGCAGGAGCAUACUUCACUUGCUCUCAGUGUUUCUUCAAUGAUGAUGAUUCAGUUAGC
rnacentral:lncRNA from 1 species